CAGAAAGAAGAGAAGCAAGGGAAAUGUGGUGGAAGUUGCUGUAGUCUAAAGAGACUGUUGAUGGUCACACUUCUUUCACUUGCAGCAGAUUCAAGCACAAUGUUGGCGCCUGCACAUGCCCUCCACCUUUCUUGCUGUUCACCUUUCCUACUGAAAGGCAGAAUCCUGAUGCACAGAAAGAAUGGAUUCAGCGCAUUAACAGGAAGGACUGGAAACCAGACAGAAAGACAUUUCUACGUUAACAUCAUCUUCUGGACAAUAUGAUGCAAUGCAUUCUGGAGCUGCAUAUUGCAAGACACAUGAAUCUCUGUUGGAUGCGUAUAGUGCUGCCAUCAACUCCUGAAGGGAAGGACUUUUGGCCCUUUUCCACUACCCUUUUUCAGCUCACUUCAGCUCGCUUCAGCCCGACACGGCUCGCGUUUCGACUACCAAAAACCA